UGCGGGGAAGAAUGAGAAGCUUCGACCAAGGUUCGAUUCGAGCGUAGCGAGAAAGCGUUGCCGCAGGCAACGACCCGAAGGGCGAGGCGCAACGCGCCGAGUAAUCCUUCCCCCACCA
rnacentral:sRNA from 1 species